UAAUAUUAUUUAUUUUUGCGUUAUAUUUUCGACACGUCAUCAGCGCGAUCGUCUCUCCAGGUGAUUGUCUAAUCGACCGAUUAUAUAUUUAUUCAAGCAUUUUUUGAGGUAACAUUUAAAUUAUAUUAAAUUUAUUUUUAUUCAUUCAUAUAAAAUUAUAUAUGUUAUUUUCAGAGUAUGAGAUUAUGUCUCCUCCUUAAUUGAAUAAUUGCUAUACCUAUUUAAAAUACAAUAAAUGGCUUAAUAAUUGAAUGAUUAUUAUUUAUAUAAACAAUCAUGUCAAAUCUGGCUAAGUUCGAUGUCGUUGCCCUUGAUGUAUCUGACAAGAAUUAUAUGAUAUGGGCAUCUGAUGUUAAGAUGCAUCUAAGAUCAAAUGAGCUUCUUAAAACCAUAGAUGUAUCUGAAACGAUAUCAGAUGAGAGCAAAGCUAAAGCCAUGAUAUUUCUACAUCACCAUCUCCACGACCAUUUAAAAAAUGAAUACAUUACAAGAGAAGAUAAUGUGGAUCUACGGCAAUCACUUAAAGAUCGUUUCGAUCAUCAAAAAUAUGUGAUUUUGCCAAAAGCCAAACAUGAAUGGCUAAAUCUUCGGUUUUUGGAUUACAAAAGUAUUGGUGGUUACAAUUCCGCCAUGUUCGGAAUCACCUCCAUGAUGAUAUUAUGUGGUGACAAAGUGAGAAAUUAUGAUAUGAUUGAAAAAACGCUCUCCACUUUUCAUCCUGGAAAUGUAAUCCUUCAACAACAAUAUCGGGCCAAAGGAUAUACUCGUUAUUCCGAUUUGAUGCAAGUCCUUUUGGAUACUGAGCAAAAUAAUGAGCUCGUGAUGGUGAAUCAUUUAUCUCGUUCACCUGGAUUAGCUCUACUCUUAUAAGUGAAUGUUGCUUCAUCCGGUGAUGAUAAUUAACAAGGACCCAGAUGUUGUUGAGGUCGUGGUCGUGGCCGAAGAAAAUGAAGAAGUUUCCAUCCCAAUGAUUGCAACACGAAAGAAACUAACAAAAACAUUCAAGUGAAUGAUGUUGGCCUAGUUAAGAAAAGGCAUGUUGAAGACACUUGCCACAAAUGCGGUAUGAAAGGACACUGGUACCAGAAGUGUCGUAUACCAAAACAUUUAGCCGAUCUGUAUCAAGCUUCGCAAAAGGAGAAAGAAAGACAUGUUGAAACUAAUCUCAUAUGUGAUGAGUCAGGACCUUCUUUUAAAGGCCAAGAUGAUGAUACUCAUUUUGAUAUGGCAGAUUUUCUUGAUUGAUCAUGACAACGAGAAAAUUAAUGUAAUAUAUUAUAACUAUAUGUAUAAUUAUGACAAGUAUUAUAGAUGUUUUUGUUUUCUGGGAUAAUGUUUUUAUUUUAUUAUAUUAUGACAUAUGAAUAAUCUAUGUCAAAGUAUUAAUGAUUAAAUAUUUUAUCUUAGAAAAAUGUCAAAAUACGAGACUGAGGAUAAAGAUAUAUGUCUGGCGGACAUUGCUUCUACGCACACUAUCUUUAAAAAUAAAAAGUAUUUCUCCUCUCUAGAAAAAAAGACUCCGCUAGAAGCAUGAGUACUAUAUAUAGUCAUGCAAAGAUAAUAUUAGGUUUUGGCGAACCCAAUUUUACAAUGCUAAGGAGAACUCAUUUUAAAGUAAAUGAUGCAUUAUAUUCCCCCAAGUCUCAUAGUGAUAAGUUUCAAAGAUAUCCAAAUUAAUGGAUAUCAUAUAGAGACUAUGAAUAAAGAUGGCAUAAAAUCCGAGAGGCAAUAUAUAUUAGAAAAUUUGCCAAUGCUAUCCUCCAGAUUAUAUUGCAUAAAAAUAAAUAUAAUCGCAUUAAAUGUCACAGUAAACUUCAGUGACAAUUACUCGAAUGAGUUUACUAGUACAUUUAAAAUAUGACAUGAAAGACUUGGACAUCGUGGUUCAGUAAUGAUGCAAAAAAAUGUACAAAAUUCUAAUGGUCAUCCAUUGAAAAACCAGAAAAUAUUUAAAUCUGGUGAGUUUUCAUGUAAAGCAUGUUCUCAAGAAAAAAUCAUAAUAAGGUCAUCGCCAACUAAAAUUGGGAAUGAAAGACCUGAAUUCUUGUCGAGAAUUCAUGAUGAUAUAUAUGGGCCAAUCCAUCCACCCUGCAGGCUGUUUCGAUAUUUUAUGGUAUUAAUUAACGCAUCUAGUAGAUUGUUACAUGUAUGUCUUUUGACUACACGAAACAUGGUUUUCGCAAGAUUCAUUGUCCAAAUAAUCAGGUUAAAGAUACAAUUUCUUGAUUAUGCCAUAAAGAAAGCCAGACUUGAUAUUGUUGGGAAAUUUACUUCGCAAGCCUUUAACGAUUAUUGUGUAUCGAUGGGAAUCGAUAUAGAGCGUCCGGUCCCUCAUGUUCAUACACAAAAUGACAUGGCCGAAUUAUUAAUUAAACGGUUGCAACUUAUUGCUACACCGUUAACAUUGAGAACAAAACUCUCGAUUUCUAUAUGAGGUCAUAUGCUAUAUUACAUGCUGCAGCUUUAUUCAUACUACUAGAUUAUAACCCGCGGUACACCGCGGGGCUAUUGUUUUUCAGUGAAAUUAAAUAUUAUUUUGUUAUUUUUGUUUUAAUAAUACUUUAAUUUAAAAAAUAUAUAAUUCAAAUCAAUUUAAAAGUUUUCUUUCAAAUGGUUAUCUAAUUUUUAUAAAGUUCAUAUGAUAUAAUAUUAUAAACCCGUCCUACCAUCUUAUCCCGUUCGGUAAAACAAAACAU
rnacentral:sRNA from 1 species